AACGGGUGAGUAACACGUGGGUAACCUGCCCAUCAGAAGGGGAUAACACUUGGAAACAGGUGCUAAUACCGUAUAACAAUCGAAACCGCAUGGUUUUGAUUUGAAAGGCGCUUUCGGGUGUCGCUGAUGGAUGGACCCGCGGUGCAUUAGCUAGUUGGUGAGGUAACGGCUCACCAAGGCGACGAUGCAUAGCCGACCUGAGAGGGUGAUCGGCCACAUUGGGACUGAGACACGGCCCAAACUCCUACGGGAGGCAGCAGUAGGGAAUCUUCGGCAAUGGACGAAAGUCUGACCGAGCAACGCCGCGUGAGUGAAGAAGGUUUUCGGAUCGUAAAACUCUGUUGUUAGAGAAGAACAAGGAUGAGAGUAACUGUUCAUCCCUUGACGGUAUCUAACCAGAAAGCCACGGCUAACUACGUGCCAGCAGCCGCGGUAAUACGUAGGUGGCAAGCGUUGUCCGGAUUUAUUGGGCGUAAAGCGAGCGCAGGCGGUUUCUUAAGUCUGAUGUGAAAGCCCCCGGCUCAACCGGGGAGGGUCAUUGGAAACUGGGAGACUUGAGUGCAAAAGAGGAGAGUGGAAUUCCAUGUGUAGCGGUGAAAUGCGUAGAUAUAUGGAGGAACACCAGUGGCGAAGGCGGCUCUCUGGUCUGUAACUGACGCUGAGGCUCGAAAGCGUGGGGAGCAAA
rnacentral:rRNA from 1 species